AGACAGUGACUUACUCAAAGAUUUCCACUUCACAGACAAACAAAGUGAAGGUAUAUAAAGUCUGUGUUUCCAUCUCUGAGACAUCCUGUGACCAGAAACUGCUGCUGGAACAGACUCUUCAACUAACCAUCAAAACAAGAUGGCUGCCGGUCUUGUCUUCACUCUGCUUCUUGGUCUGAGCUUUGGACUCUGGGAUGGAGCUGAUGCCGUAUGUCAAGUGAGAGCUAACACACCACUUGACUGCCCUGCAGGCUGGACUUGGUACAACGGUCGCUGUUUUGUGUUUGUGAAAGACUUAAAGAGAUGG